rnacentral:rRNA from 1 species
UACGAAGGGUGCAAGCGUUUAAUCGGAAUUACUGGGCGUAAAGGGCGCGUAGGCGGCCUUCUAAGUCGAACGUGAAAUCCCCGGGCUCAACCCGGGAACUGCGUCCGAUACUGGAAGGCUUGAAUCCGGGAGAGGGAUGCGGAAUUCCAGGUGUAGCGGUGAAAUGCGUAGAUAUCGUAAGGAAGACCAGUGGCGAAGGCGGGUCUCUGGACAGUUCCUGACGCUGAGGCACGAAGGUCAGGGGAGCAAACGGG